CCCAGCGCCCCUCUCCGCCCCGCCUCCCUCCUAGGUGGAGGAAGAUGAUUCCCCCCCAUCUUGACCGCCCCCUGCCUUCGCCGCCAAGCACGGACUCCGUCGCUCCUGCCGACCCGGUAUCAGUGGUUGGAUCCAAGGGAAUUCCGGAACCCAAACCGUCCAUUACCGCGGCUCCGGGUGAAACAGUUGUUCAAAAGAAUGAAGCACCUCUGGGACUUCCCCAGUGGCACAGUGGGUAAGAAUCCUCCUGCCAAUGCAGGGGACAUGGGUUUGAUCCCUGGUCCAGGAAGAUCCUACAUGCCAUGGAGCAACUAAGCCCGUGUGCCACAGCUACUGAAGUCCGUGUGCCUAUAGCCCGUGCUCCACAACAAGAGAAGCCACCACAAGGAGAAGCCCGCACACCGCAACAAAGAGUAGCUAGCUCCCGGUCGCCACAACUAGAGAAAGGCUGCACGCAGCAACGAAGACCCAACACAGCCAAAAUAAGGGACACGGGUUAGAGCCCUGAUCUGGGAAGAUCCCACAUGCCGUGGAGCAACUAAGCCCAUACGCCACAACUACUGAGCCUGCGUGCCUGGAGCCCAUGAUCUGCAACAAGAGAAGCCACCGCAAGGAGAAGCCCGCACACUGCAACGAAGAGUAGCCCUCGCUUGCUGCAACUAGAGAAAGCCCGCGCGCAGCAACGAGGACCCAACAAAGCCAAAUAAAUAAAUAAAUAAAUUUA